rnacentral:rRNA from 1 species
UGGGGAAUAUUGCGCAAUGGGGGGAACCCUGACGCAGCCAUGCCGCGUGAAUGAAGAAGGCCUUAGGGUUGUAAAGUUCUUUCGGUAUUGAGGAAGGUUGAUGUGUUAAUAGCACAUCAAAUUGACGUUAAAUACAGAAGAAGCACCGGCUAACCCCGUGCCAGCAGCCGCGGUAAUACGGAGGGUGCGAGCGUUAAUCGGAAUAACUGGGCGUAAAGGGCACGCAGGCGGUUAUUUAAGUGAGGUGUGAAAGCCCCGGGCUUAACCUGGGAAUUGCAUUUCAGACUGGGUAACUAGAGUACUUUAGGGAGGGGUAGAAUUCCACAUGUAGCGGUGAAAUGCGUAGAGAUGUGGAGGAAUACCGAAGGCGAAGGCAGCCCCUUGGGAAUGUACUGACGCUCAUGUGCGAAAGCGUGGGGAGCAAACAGGAUUAGAUACCCUGGUAGUCCACGCUGUAAACGCUGUCGAUUUGGGGGUUGGGGUUUAACUCUGGCGCCCGUAGCUAACGUGAUAAAUCGACCGCCUGGGGAGUACGGCCGCAAGGUUA